rnacentral:rRNA from 1 species
GCCAUGCCCGUGUGUGAAGAAGGUCUUCGGAUUGUAAAGCACUUUAAGUUGGGAGGAAGGGUUGUAAAUUAAUACUCUGUUGUUUUGACGUUACCGACAGAAUAAGCACCGGCUAACUCUGUGCCAGCAGCCGCGGUAAUAC